AAAUGGCAUUUUAUAGAGAACUCUGAACAACCAAGUUUACUAUGUUAUUAUUUUGACAGUUCUGUGUCCUUAUCACAUAAAUAACAUUAUAAACAUAAGACAUCUCGCUGCACAUGACAAUGGGAAUGGUCUUUGACUUUAUUCUGGAAGUAUGUUCAGACUUUUCCCCAGAGCAUCAAUGUGCUGGGAACCAUGUGUCUUUUCCCCUGACCUAGGGCCUCAAGUCAAGAAGAGGAACAACUUUCAAUUUUCUGUGCUUGUUUGCUUUCUGCCCUGAAUACACAAAAAAGACAUUUGAGCAAACUUUUGGGUUAAGUUUUCAGGGCAUCCUUCCAUUUCUCACCACAAAGGAUUUAAGAGCCAAUUACUCCUGAGACCCAGGAGUUUGUUCUUAUUAUUUAAAUGUGGGUGUCUUCACAGCAAAACAACCUCAAAAACUCAACCCAAGCCCCUCAACCCACCACCGUUUGCUUAAUGAAGCAAAACACCAUAAUAGACUUAAUGAUGUGGAUUUAUCUCAACUGUUGUUUUGAGAUCACAACAAAUCAUUAAAAUCAUUAACUCUCCUAGUUAAAUUAGAGAACAGAUUUUCUAGAGUGCAUAGCCUACGUGUUUUUUUCUAUAACAUCCUCACCCCCGUUCCUUUAUUACUUAUGCUUCUCAGAUUUCUUCCAUGCAGAAUAAACUAGCUUAAUAUAUUCCAAGUCACACUUUAAAAUAGCUUUGUUACCUCCCUCCAUGCUCAUUCCUCCCCUGUUCCCCAGAGUCACUUCCCUAAGAAAUGUAGGCAGCAGAGAGCUAAGCUAAGGGAUUUGAAUCAAUGCUGACUUUAGGAGCCUAUAACAAACUAUAAACAGCCAGUAGAGUUUUGGCUCUCCCAGGGCUCCUGUGUAAGCAGAAGCUCUCACCACUACAUCUGGAAAAGCAGAAGGAUAUGUCAGCAGAUGCCACUCUCAGAAUGAAGACAAAGUAGAGUUUAGAUUCUGAUUCACUCUGUUUCUUUUCUAAGGUUUGUCACUUACUGCCUCCCCAGCCCAUUCAAUCCUACAAAAGUGGAGAGUCUUGAGUGGUGUGCAGAAAACAAGUCCUGCUGAUCUCUUACCUCUAUGUGGGCAUUGAAGAAGUGGAUGGAGCCUCUCAGACCAAUAUAUAUAGGAGAAAUUCAUAUGCAUUCUUCUAGAAGAUUCGUAAGGAAAUAGAACAAUGACAGUGAGUUGGCCCAGAAGAUCCACAGAGAAUACCCCAAACAAAUGUUUCUAGUUGGGUGUGAACUCCAGCUUUCCGUUAUCCCUGCAGCUGACUGGCUCCUGCUGUCCCUGAGAACUGGCUUCACCUCACCACUCCGUUUCUCCUCUUUUUUGAGAGCUGAGUUGCGCCCACAGUUUACUAACAGUGUGGGAGUUUUUCCAUUUCUUCUUUCUCUCCUCUACCUUCACAUGAGAAAAACAUAUUUUCUCCUGGAGAGAAGAGGUAGCUUUGUUACUCUGGUCCUAUUCCAGAGCCACCAGAUUGCAGACAUGAAAAGCAUGAGCUCCUAAAGAUCCCACGUGCUGUGAUGCGUAGCUCUUAUCCCCGCAGCCUCAGAGUGACUGGGAGAGAAAGCCACUGCUCAGGAAGAAUCCAGGCAGCUGGAGCCUGUCACUGACUUGAUUUAGCAACAUGCUGAGGCCUUCUCUGUCUGGGGUCACCCCCACAUGGAGCCAUUCCUUUCGUCCUUCUUUAUAAGCAGAAAUGUCAAGGAUGGACAGAAGGCAUCCUCCAUACUUUUCUGCUGGUGGCAAGGUUAGAAUUUCUCUUUCUCAACUUUUAGAAAACGCCAAGCCCUGGUCACAUCUGCCAAGCUGGCAGAUGUGGUUCUUCCUGGUCCAAGCUGAGGUUCAGUAAUGGAUGCAGAACAUCAACUUGUCUUUUCUGGAUACCUUGAGCCAGGCAUUGGCACAAGGCAGCAUCACCAACAAAUAGGCAUUUUGGUGCCAUUUGUGAAAAUUAACUUCCCUAAUUAACUUACUCAUACAAAUGCAUUCAGGAUGAAGACAUUAGGAUGAUUACCUAGAAAAUUACUACCUUGGUAGGGUCCGCUGGGUCCCCUUUUGCCUCUGAAAUGUGCCAAGAACAAAAUUGCUCUGACGACAUUGUCAGAUCUCUGAGAGCAAAUAACUGAUGAAUGAAAGAAUGAUGCCACGUGUUGGCAACUCUAAUCCUAAUUUUAGCUCAUGGACUCUGCUCAGCAUGAAGUGGCCAAGAAAUGGUUUUCUCCAUCCAGAAGGGAGCACUGGUGAGCAUCAAAAUUACUUAUUGGUGCGAAUUCAAGCACCUUCUCAAGCACCAGGCUACACAGCAAUUAUGGCUUAAUGAGUUUUACAUCAAUUAGGAUAGCUAGAAGGGUACUCUGGGGGGGACCAGUAGGAGGCCUACAUCUCAGAAACAAGAGGUUCUGAAAUUCCAUGUGUUUACCCAGCCUACAAGUGCAACUUUAUUAUUUUUUUUAAUGAGCCUGAAUAUGUCCAUGGAGAGCCUUAGUAAUAUGAAACAUUUUCAGCCCUAGGGAAUUUUACUUCCUCUCUUUGAAAUUCCCUAUGCAUAAGUGUUAGUCAUUCUUAUCAGAUCAGAAAUUUCUGGAAAAUUUUCUCUUUUCUGGGGUUUUAUUUCAUUUUAUUAUAUUAUAGGAGUCAGUUACUCAAAAUAAAAUGCAUACAUUUUCCAAAUGUUGUUCUAUGUUCUUUGUCUGGUCAGGCAUGAAGAGAAGUCAGAAAAUUCAGGGUAGAGUUCAACGUUAUGGGUAUAUAAGGGUAAUGGUAUGUACUUCCUCCAAAAACUGAAGGGAAUUUAAAGUAUUCUGAGAGUUUAAAUGAUUGAUUUCCAACCCUGCUACACAUUAGAUUCAUCUAGCAAGGUAUUUUUUUUUCUUUUUUCUUUUUUCUUUUUUUUUAACUUUCAAUGCCUGAGUCCCACUUCAGACGAGUUAAGUUGGUAUCUCUGGGAGAUGGGGUCAAGAUAUCCCCAAAGUUUCCCAGAUGAUUUUAACGUCAGAGUUGAGAACAAUCCAUUGAUUUUCAUAAAUAUAUACUCAUCAUUUAUUAUAUGCUAGGCAUUUUUCUGGAAGCUGGAAAUGUAGCAGUGAACAAAUCAGACAAAAAUCCCUGCCUUCACAGAGCAAAUAUGCUAGUGGAUUUUCACUGACAACACAAGAUUAAUAAAUACAUAGCAUUCAUGGUAUAUAAGUUAAUGAUUAGGGCUAAGGAGAAAAAUAAAUCAAGGAAGGAGGACAUCACUUUUAUGAUGGGGGAAGUUUGGCAAUAUUAUAAGGCAUCAGGGGAGGACUCAUGAGAAGGUGACGUUUGCAUGAAGAUCUGAAAGAGGCAGGGAAAAUGUCUCCAGGCAGAGGGAAGAGCAAAUGCUAGGUCUUGAGGCAGGAGCAUAUUGAUCCCAAGAAAAGCCAGGGGGCUAACAUAGAGUAUAUAUACACUGUUUGUCUAAACUAGUAAAAUCCGCACUCUAGGUAGAAGAUGAACUAUUUGUAGAAAUAAACCAAAAGACUGUAUAUAAAUGUGUGACUAAAGAAUUUGAGAAUACUUUGAACCCAACCCAGCAUGAUCUGCUGCAAUGUUAAGGAUGCAGGCAUGGAUAUGAUAGUAAUUUGAUAAACUGAUAUAGAAUUAAUUCCAGUUUGGCCUGUUUGAUGAAAGGAGGUAGGAAAACAAGGUAGAUCAAUCUAGAGAACAAAAUAAGGCAGGGGAAGCAAGAGUGAGAGCAGUCCUCUGUGCAUGGAUAGGAGUUGAAGUAGGGUGGAGGGAUGUCCAUGGGUUGUGGCAGGUCACGAUAGGCACACAUUAAACCCUGGAAUACAUAACUGACAAUCAUCCUUCUCAUUCAGUGUUCUCCAAGCUAACUAAAAAAGAGAAGCCUUCUAAUAUGUCUAGCUUACAGGGAAUGGCAGUGUUGAUCAGCCAAGGUGAAUGUGUAGCCCACCUGUAUCUUAUUUCUUAUGAUAAGUUAAGACAUUACGGUUGGGAUUCUAGAUAUUAGUCUAAGUGACCUUUGUAUAAGCCACUAUCCCUGAGUCAGAUCAUUCCAGAGUUAAAUACUGAGAAGGUAAGGCCCCUGAACCUGUGAAUUUUGGACAGUAAAGUUUGGACAAUGCAAAUGUCCCUUUGUGUGACUCUGAAGCUCUUGGCCUAUUUCUCUAACAGCUGACUUUGCAUAGCCAUGUGACAUUCACCUUUUACAUCCAACAACACUCCAUUCAGUCCCCGUCUUGCCUGGCAGCUGUUUUUUCACAGUACAAAUAAAA